rnacentral:rRNA from 1 species
AUUGAACGCUGGCGGCAGGCCUAACACAUGCAAGUCGAGCGAGCGGCGGACGGGUGAGUAAUGUCUGGGAAACUGCCCGAUGGAGGGGGAUAACUACUGGAAACGGUAGCUAAUACCGCAUACCAUCGGAUGUGCCCAGAUGGGAUUAGCUAGUAGGUGGGGUAACGGCUCACCUAGGCGACGAUCCCUAGCUGGUCUGAGAGGAUGACCAGCCACACUGGAACUGAGACACGGCCCAGACUCCUACGGGAGGCAGCAGUGGGGAAUAUUGCACAAUGGGCGCAAGCCUGAUGCAGCCAUGCCGCGUGUAUGAAGAAGGCCUUCGGGUUGUAAAGUACUUUCAGCGGGGAGGCGUUACCCGCAGAAGAAGCACCGGCUAACUCCGUGCCAGCCGCCGCGGUAAUAC